UCCAAACGCUUAAAAAAAACAAAAAACAAAAACCGAACACUUCAUUAAAGCCAGGCAACUAACAAAGCCUUCCUUACAGACAAGAGUAUGAAUCUGAUGAGGAGUUGGACCCUGAAGAAGGUUCUCCGUAGCACGCCUUCAGGAAACAACAGACACCCAGCUUAGCUGCGGUUAGCAUGAAAAACAGUUUGCAACGCCUGGGGCCUCCCGGCAGCUCGGCUGGGUGUUUAAGGUGAAACCUCAGACCUUGUAGCGACACUGCUGUUGCCGCCUCCGGCCAGGGACCGCUGCCCUCCUCUGAGGAGCAGUCAAGAAGGAAUAUAGGUUUGUCCCCAAUGGAAGCAGCUCAGGACAGCUGCUUUGAGGACGAGACUCAGGCGAGGCUCACCGGGCGACUCAACUACCCCAUCUGCCGACUCAGCCAGGAAAUGCAGAAGACCGAGCCGGUCGGCGGUGACAUUUAUGAUCCAGAGAAACCCGCACAAGGACGACGCUAUUAGCCUCAUUUCACAGAUGAGGAAACCGAGGCUCCGAGAGGUUGAAUUCCUUUGGUCAAGUUCACAGACUUGUUAAGCGGCGCGCCGGACUUUUCGAGGUGUUCCACUGACUGGCCACGCGGCGGGGAAAGCUAACAGCACGUCGGAUGCUUAUAAAGUCUUGCUGUGAGUGCUCGUUUCCCGAGCGCUGCGUGUUACAGACGCUUCUGCUAAAACGUGUUUUCACAACAAGUCUGCUCUUAACCAACACUGAUUCGUGUCUUUCCUACCCGCUCUUUCACAGCAGCAACAGAGCUGAGCACGGUCCCCAAACUCCGCCUUCCCCUCCCAACCCCACCGCCCAGCCUCUUCCAGGCCUGCCUUGUCCGCUUGGACCAGGCCUCUGCAGAGCCCCCUCCCAAGGGCCCUCUGCCUCCUGCACUUCCGGCUUCCAGAGAGAUCAUUCUGAAGGACUCUUCCUUUUCAUUCACCGCCCUCUUCUUCAGUUCUGCUUUUGGGCCCAGUACCUUGGCCUCGGUUAGUUAUUUUUGUCUGGUUACACUUCCCCUGGUCAAAGAGGAGACCGAGACGGAAAGGAUAUUAUAUUUGUUUCUAUAUA